CAGGUCGGCAGGUGUGAGCACGGGUACGGAGCGUGGACAGCAGCACCACCCGGCAGGCGCGAGCAGGCGUGACGGACAUCGAUGGGAUGGCUGGCAGCUGCGACCACGCCUCCCUCUCCCUCCUCCAGUCUGGCCUCCUUCCAUGAGGCCACUUGCAUUCACAGCCAUGGAGGGGCAGUGGCAGCCACACUCAUCUUUCAGCUGGAGGAGGAGGGAGAGACUUGGAGCUCAGGACCCACCCUGCCUCACUGUCCACCUCUGGCCACGUCCCUUUCUCCCUUCCCGGACCC